rnacentral:rRNA from 1 species
UACGAAGGGUGCAAGCGUUAAUCGGAAUUACUGGGCGUAAAGCGCGCGUAGGUGGUUCGUUAAGUUGGAUGUGAAAGCCCCCCGGGCCGUCAACCUGGGAACGUGCAUCCAAAACCUAGGCGAGCUAGAGUAUGGCAGAGGGUGGUGGAAUUUCCUUGUGUAGCGGUGAAAUAGCGUAGAUAUAGGAAGGAACACCAGUGGCGAAGGCGACCACCUGGGCGUAAUACUGACACUGAGGUGCGAAAGACGUGGGGAGGCAAACAGGAUUAGAUACCCGGGUAGGU